GACGAACGCUGGCGGCGUGCCUAAUACAUGCAAGUCGAACGCAGUGGGGACGGGUGAGUAACACGUGGGUAACCUCCCAUCAGAGGGGAUAACAAGUCGAAAAAAGUGCUAAACCGAUAUUGAUGGGUGGCCCCUCGGUGCAUUAGCUAGUUGGUGAGGGAACGGCUCACCAAGGCCACGAUGGAUAGCCGACCGGAGAGGGGGAACGGCCACAUUGGGACUGAGACACGGCCCAGACGCCUACGGGAGGCAGCAGGAGUGAAUCUUCGGCAAUGGACGAAAGUCUGACCGAGCAACGCCGCGUGAGUGAAGAAGGUUUUCGGAUCGUAAAACUCUGUUGUUAGAGAAGCGGUAUCUAACCAGAAAGCCACGGCUAACUCCGUGCCAGCCGCCGCGGUAAUUC
rnacentral:rRNA from 1 species